GACGAACGCUGGCGGCGUGCCUAAUACAUGCAAGUCGAACGCUGAAGGAGGAGCUUGCUUCUCCGGAUGAGUUGCGAACGGGUGAGUAACGCGUAGGUAACCUGCCUGGUAGCGGGGGAUAACUAUUGGAAACGAUAGCUAAUACCGCAUAACAGUAGAUGUUGCAUGACAUUUGCUUAAAAGGUGCAAUUGCAUCACUACCAGAUGGACCUGCGUUGUAUUAGCUAGUUGGUGAGGUAACGGCUCACCAAGGCGACGAUACAUAGCCGACCUGAGAGGGUGAUCGGCCACACUGGGACUGAGACACGGCCCAGACUCCUACGGGAGGCAGCAGUAGGGAAUCUUCGGCAAUGGACGGAAGUCUGACCGAGCAACGCCGCGUGAGUGAAGAAGGUUUUCGGAUCGUAAAGCUCUGUUGUAAGAGAAGAACGAGUGUGAGAGUGGAAAGUUCACACUGUGACGGUAUCUUACCAGAAAGGGACGGCUAACUACGUG
rnacentral:rRNA from 1 species